GGCGGCCGGGCGGGGCGGGGAGCGCGGGCCCUCCCACACAGGAACAGGUCUGAAUUGUAGUGAUAGAAAACCCAUGCUAAAGCAGCGGGACCUAAGCUUGUCCCCAUGUAAACAGUCAUCACUGUCAAGCUGUGCCAAAGCUGUGUUCCAGGAUGCUCCUGAGGAAAGCCCAGCCUUUCUCUUCCCUCCUUCCUUGAAAUCCCAGCUGCCAUAGAAAUCCUUCUCUCC